rnacentral:rRNA from 1 species
UCUUCCGCAAUGGACGAAAGUCUGACGGAGCAACGCCGCGUGAGUGAAGAAGGCCUUCGGGUCGUAAAACUCUGUUGCCGGGGAAGAACAAGUGCCGUUCGAACAGGGCGGCGCCUUGACGGUACCCGGCCAGAAAGCCACGGCUAACUACGUGCCAGCAGCCGCGGUAAUACGUAGGUGGCAAGCGUUGUCCGGAAUUAUUGGGCGUAAAGCGCGCGCAGGCGGCUUCUUAAGUCUGAUGUGAAAUCUUGCGGCUCAACCGCAAGCGGUCAUUGGAAACUGGGGGGCUUGAGUGCAGAAGAGGAGAGUGGAAUUCCACGUGUAGCGGUGAAAUGCGUAGAGAUGUGGAGGAACACCAGUGGCGAAGGCGGCUCUCUGGUCUGUAACUGACGCUGAGGCGCGAAAGCGUGGGGAGCAAACAGG